GACGUAGGGGGCGAGCGUUGUCCGGAUUUAUUGGGCGUAAAGCGUGCGUAGGCGGCUGCGCAAGUCGGGUGUGAAACCCCGGGGCUCAACCCCGGAACUGCAUCCGAUACUGCGUGGCUAGAGGUAGGUAGGGGAGAUCGGAAUUCCUGGUGUAGCGGUGAAAUGCGCAGAUAUCGAGGAGGAACACCGGUGGCGAAGGCGGAUCUCUGGGCCUUACCUGACGCUCAGGCAGCGAAAGCUAGGGGAGCGAACAGG
rnacentral:rRNA from 1 species